UACGUAGGGUGCAAGCGUUAAUCGGAUUUACUGGGCGUAAAGCGUGCGCAGGCGGUUGUGCAAGUCACUUGUGAAAUCCCCGGGCUUAACCUGGGAACUGCAUUUGUGACUGCAUUGCUGGAGUGCGGCAGAGGGGGAUGGAAUUCCGCGUGUAGCAGUGAAAUGCGUAGAUAUGCGGAGGAACACCGAUGGCGAAGGCAAUCCCCUGGGCCUGCACUGACGCUCAUGCACGAAAGCGUGGGGAGCAAACAGG
rnacentral:rRNA from 1 species